rnacentral:rRNA from 1 species
GACGAACGCUGGCGGCGUGCUUAACACAUGCAAGUCGAACGGAAAGGCCCUGCUUUUGUGGGGUGCUCGAGUGGCGAACGGGUGAGUAACACGUGAGUAACCUGCCCUUGACUUUGGGAUAACUUCAGGAAACUGGGGCUAAUACCGGAUAGGAGCUCCUGCUGCAUGGUGGGGGUUGGAAAGUUUCGGCGGUUGGGGAUGGACUCGCGGCUUAUCAGCUUGUUGGUGGGGUAGUGGGCUACCAAGGCUUUGACGGGUAGCCGGCCUGAGAGGGUGACCGGCCACAUUGGGACUGAGAUACGGCCCAGACUCCUACGGGAGGCAGCAGUGGGGAAUAUUGCACAAUGGGCGGAAGCCUGAUGCAGCAACGCCGCGUGCGGGAUGACGGCCUUCGGGUUGUAAACCGCUUUCGCCUGUGACGAAGCGUGAGUGACGGUAAUGGGUAAAGAAGCACCGGCUAACUACGUG